GACGAACCGUGCAAACGUUGUUCGGAUUCACUGGGCUUAAAGGGCGCGUAGGCGGUCGAUCACGUCCGGGGUGAAAUCUUUCGGCUUAACCGGAAAAUAGCCUGGGAUACGGAUCGGCUGGAGGGAGGUAGGGGCAGGUGGAACUUCCGGUGGAGCGGUGAAAUGCGUAGAUAUCGGAAGGAACGCCGGUGGCGAAAGCGACCUGCUGGACCUCUUCUGACGCUGAGGCGCGAAAGCUAGGGGAGCGAACGGGAUUAGAUACCCCGGUAGUCCUAGCCCUAAACGAUGGGUACUAGGUAGUGGACCAGACAUGGGCUCACUGCCGAAGCAAAAGUAUUAAGUACCCCGCCUGGGGAGUAUGGUCGCAAGGCUGAA
rnacentral:rRNA from 1 species